AAGAGAUCCUAACUAUUAUAACACAAGGUGAUUUGAAUGAAUCAUCCAUUUAAUACUGGCAUCCAGUAGUGGUGGGAGGGCACUGAAUGGCAUUUUCAACUUGAGUUUUCAAGAUGCAAGAUGCAACCUCGACUACUUAAAUAGCUUAACCGCCGAAAGGCAAUAUUAAGCAUUUCAAAGCCUGUUUUACCCAAGAUGAUAAGCAUAAAUGGUGCUG
rnacentral:misc_RNA from 1 species